rnacentral:tRNA from 1 species
GCCUUCGUAGUGUAGUGGUCAGCACACUCGACGUGUAACCGAGAGGUCCGUGGUUCGAUUCCCGGCGAAGGCG